UACAGAGGGUGCAAGCGUUGUUCGGAAUUACUGGGCGUAAAGCGCGUGUAGGCGGCGGCGUUAGUCGGGUGUGAAAUCCCUCAGCUCAACUGAGGAGGUGCAUUCGAUACUGCGUCGCUUGAAUGUCGGAGGGGAUGGCGGAAUUCCCGGUGUAGAGGUGAAAUUCGUAGAUAUCGGGAGGAACACCUGUGGCGAAGGCGGCCAUCUGGACGACAAUUGACGCUGAGACGCGAAAGCGUGGGUAGCAAACAGG
rnacentral:rRNA from 1 species